UGGCGGCAUGCCUUAACACAUGCAAGUCGAACGGCAGCACGGGAGCAAUCCUGGUGGCGAGUGGCGAACGGGUGAGUAAUAUAUCGGAACGUGCCCAGUCGGUGGGGGAUAACGUAGCGAAAGCUACGCUAAUACCGCAUACGAUCUAUGGAUGAAAGCGGGGGAUCGCAAGACCUCGCGCGAUUGGAGCGGCCGAUAUCAGAUUAGGUAGUUGGUGAGGUAAAGGCUCACCAAGCCGACGAUCUGUAGCUGGUCUGAGAGGACGACCAGCCACACUGGGACUGAGACACGGCCCAGACUCCUACGGGAGGCAGCAGUGGGGAAUUUUGGACAAUGGGCGCAAGCCUGAUCCAGCAAUGCCGCGUGCAGGAUGAAGGCCUUCGGGUUGUAAACUGCUUUGUACGGAACGAAACGGUGAGCUCUAAUACAGUUUGCUAAUGACGGUACCGUAAGAAUAAGCACCGGCUAACUACGUG
rnacentral:rRNA from 1 species